rnacentral:lncRNA from 1 species
AUGACUGUCUCCGCCUCUGUUUGCCUUCUCUUCUGUUUUGUUUGUCUCAAGGCGCCAUCUUCUACAGCUUCCUCCUCUGGCUGGCCUCCUCUUCCUCGCACUCUCUUUUCUUUCUUUCUGUUCUUUCUUUUUAUUUAUUUAACCAGUUGUGACGCUUCCCUCGGUUUGUCUGCUGCUGUUGGAGUUCAUGUUGAUGAAGAGGGUUUUUCUCGAGACUGCAAAGAUUCCUUGUGUGAAUAAAUCUGGAGGAUGGCACAAAAUGCACUGCUAAAACUGGAGUGAGCCAGGAGAGACCAGAGAAACGACAGCAGAGGAACAGUGUCAUCCUUCCUUCAUCAUCUAACUGGAAGUGCAAAAGCUCAGAUUAGUAAAUUCUUCUGAAGGUGGUUACUGCCAUUAUUGUUGUUAUUUCUGAUCUGAUAGAUGAAAAAAAUCUUAAUUUCUCUUAAUCUCUAUUUUAUGUUGCGUAUAGAGUCAUUGUGAGAAUAGUACAUUCAGAUUAGUAUCAUCAGAUUAGUAAAUUUAUAUGAAGUUAGUUACUGCCAUUAUUAUUGUUAUUCCUGACUUGAUAGUUUAAUGAGAUCUGAAUUUAUCUUAUCCUUUAUUUUAUUUUUCUUAUAGAUUCCUUGUGUCAAUAAAUCCGGAGGAUGGCACA